rnacentral:rRNA from 1 species
GUGGGGAAUAUUGGACAAUGGGCGCAAGCCUGAUCCAGCAAUACCGCGUGUGUGAAGAAGGCCCGAGGGUUGUAAAGCACUUUCAGCGGGGAGGAACCCCCGCCGGCUAAUAUCCGGCGGGCUGACAUUACCCGCAGAAGAAGCGCCGGCUAACUCCGUGCCAGCAGCCGCGGUAAUACGGAGGGCGCGAGCGUUAAUCGGAAUUACUGGGCGUAAAGCGCGCGUAGGCGGCCCGUUAAGUCAGAUGUGAAAGCCCCGGGCUCAACCUGGGAACGGCAUUUGAUACUGGGGGGCUCGAGUUGGGCAGAGGCAGGCGGAAUUCCGGGUGUAGCGGUGAAAUGCGUAGAUAUCCGGAGGAACACCAGUGGCGAAGGCGGCCUGCUGGGCCCGAACUGACGCUGAGGCGCGAAAGCGUGGGUAGCAAACAGGAUUAGAAACCCUAGUAGUCC